GAUGAACGCUGGCGGCGUGCCUAAUACAUGCAAGUAGAACGCUGAAGGAAGGAGCUUGCUCUUUCCGGAUGAGUUGCGAACGGGUGAGUAACGCGUAGGUAACCUGCCUGGUAGCGGGGGAUAACUAUUGGAAACGAUAGCUAAUACCGCAUAACAGUAGAUGUUGCAUGAUAUCUACUUAAAAGGUGCAAUUGCACCACUACCAGAUGGACCUGCGUUGUAUUAGCUAGUUGGUGAGGUAACGGCUCACCAAGGCGACGAUACAUAGCCGACCUGAGAGGGUGAUCGGCCACACUGGGACUGAGACACGGCCCAGACUCCUACGGGAGGCAGCAGUAGGGAAUCUUCGGCAAUGGACGGAAGUCUGGCCGAGCAACGCCGCGUGAGUGAAGAAGGUUUUCGGAUCGUAAAGCUCUGUUGUAAGAGAAGAACGAGUGUGAGAGUGGAAAGUUCACACUGUGACGGUAUCUUACCAGAAAGGGACGGCUAACUACGUG
rnacentral:rRNA from 1 species